AAAGUUGUAACAAGGUUUCCGUAGGUGAACCUGCGGAAGGAUCAUUAACAAAUCCAUAGAUUGCUUGGUGGUAUUUAUUUUAUUGCCAGCAAAAUAUAAAGCCGCCCGUGUUGGAGGGAGGUUGGGAGGGUAAUUGAUUUAUUUAGCGAUAGAUUAAUUGCAACUACCAACCAACCACCACCUGGGCCGUAACAUAUAAAUGCGUGUUGUGUAGACAGUGUGUGAUUUAAACAAAUUAUUGACAACUUUUAACAAUGGAUCUCUAGGCUCUU
rnacentral:misc_RNA from 1 species